AUGUUGAAGGUGAGGCAGAGUUUCCUCAUUCCAGUGCCAGUCAAAGACAUGGCAAGAAGCUUCCUGCACUGGGAGCUUACACUGUAUGAAGACAAAAACAGGAAGAGUUUUUAGGUAAAGGAAAUAUUACUACACAGUUUCUGAGGCAAAAACCUUAGGCAAAAAAGGAACAAUUAUUUGCUCAAAGCUACCAGAGGUUGUAGUGUUCUGAGGAACUGUGCUCACUGCUCCUGGACAAGGCAACUGAGAAUUUUUCUGCUCCAAUUUGCUUAGGGUAAUAUUUAACAUUGCACAUGGCAGAAUACGAAUGCACAUAAUAACAAAUCAAAGUAGUUCAUAUCAGCAGGUGGUUUAUAUGUACAUAUAGAGUGUAGGUGUCUCCCAUCAUGCAAGCGAAAAAAGCUGACCAGAUGGAUAACCUGGAUCAAACUUUUAGGUACUGGGACAGAAACAGGGAAGAGAGGAAUCAACUUUACUGGCAAAAAGAGAUUAUGAGGAUUUAGAUGAAGUCCUAAGACAGCCUUGCUCACCUGACCACAGCUACUGCUGGGGUGAAGGCAGCACAGAAUAGGUCUAUUUAAAAUAUUCUUAUGCUUCUGACAGAGACCAUGUUAUGUUGAUAGAAUAGGCAUGCUAUAACAAUUGCAAAAAUUAUAUGAACUGGACAGAAGACCAUCAUUUCAGGAAGAUGAGAACUAUCACUGGGAGACCUUAGACUUGAUGUGCUGAAAGAGUGAAAUGAUAUAGCGAAACAAUGGAGGAGUUUCAGGAAGGUGUUUGUCUUCCACAUGGCUGACGGCUGAAUUCUGUUCAAAAAGCAUGAUUAAGGCUGCAAUAGGUACAAAGCCAAGUUUCCCCUUGGAUUCUCCCUCCUGCUGUGCCUCAUGUGGCUGGCAGAGUUCUGCCAUUGUGGAACAGAGAUUGCUGGAAAUAAAUUCUUCUUAAGCAGACAGGCUUUUGUUCAGUUUUGACUCCAGGCUCCCAGCCCAAAGUCUUGAGCAAUCUGCACUGGGAAAGCUCUGUGCAUCCGUGGUAAGGCUCUUUUUUAGAGGCUUCUAAUCUGAGGAAUUUGUGGCAAAGAGAACCAUUUUCUGAAAGGCUGCGUUCUGGGCAGAUCUUCAUUAUCAGCCUUGUCCUAGCAUAUUCUCUGAGAUUUCCAUCAUCUUAGGCUUUGGAUUUAGAUGCAGAUAAGCUCAUUUUUAGGUUUCCAUACCUGCAUUUAUGUGAACUAGUUGCAGAACAAAUCAAGGAGGCAUACAGUACUCUUGUACCUCUUGCCUAUUAAUUAAUUCUUCACAUUUUUCUAUACAAGUGGGUGAAAGAAAUGCUGUGUGCACACAUUUUUCUCUUUCUGAAAAAGAAACACAAGAUUCAACAGCUUAUUUUCUGUCACAGCCACAACUUCAUUCAUCAUGUGAAAUCUCAGGUUGCUCUGUGCUCUAAAAUAGUCAGCAUGUUACUCAUCUUCUUGCGAGCGAAUAAUUUUGUGGGGUUUCCUCCUCCUUUCCUAUUUCUCUUGUUAUUACUUCCAGAUGACAGUGUCUGUAAUGUUGUUGUACAACUCUACAAACCGAGGCACUUUUUAGAACCAAGAUUUUUUGGACACACUCAGAUCAGCAUGAUGUUUGUGAAACAUUUUAUGUAACUGUCCAAAGAGCGUCCCUCUCUCAUUUUCUUAGUGACAAUGGUAGACAACCCUUCAGUCUGUCAGCAGUUAGAAGCCAUCAUCUCUCACCCAAAUUUUGAGCAUUUCUAGCCAGUCUUCACCUGCCAGCUAUAUUUGUUGAAUGCUUGGUGAAUCAUAUAAAAAUUGUAUAAGCCUGAAUUCAUCUGCAAUAUGCACUUUACAGACCCUUCACUUCUUUUACAGCUAAAAGGAGAAGAAUGAUUGUAAAGAGUUGCCAUUUUUCUUCAUCUGAUUGUAAGUCCUAAAUGCACAUUCAUGUGGCUGUAUCCUGUUCUACAGAAUGGCAAGGCAAUUUUACAAUUGCUGUGAGCUCCUAGGUAGCAGGUUCUGCUGUUCUUAUUUUCAAUCACACCUAAGGUGUUUGAUUUUUCCCUUAAUCUGCUUUUCCUAUUCUCAUUCCACCUCAAGCAAUUCAUUUAAUUCUCUUUCCUGUGUUAUCUACACAUGACACUACUACGUGGGGUUUUUUUCCUGGAUUUAUUUAAUGGAUGAUCUUGUCCUAGAUUUCACCUGUGACAAAUUGCCAUAUCCAGGCUUGGACUCCUAUUUUUAAACACCUUGACAAUAUAUUGCUUUUCUAGAUAUGUCCAUUUUCUGAAAGCAAGCCUGAAGGUACCGGUAAGUCAAACAUCUUAAAAGCAACAGAGCAUACAGAACAAAUGAGAAAAGCCACAAAACAAAAUCCCAGCUGAUUCAAAGCAUAUCUGAUUAUUUUUCUUUCCAAGAUACUAAUAACACUGCUGCUGUAUUGGCUAUAUCUAAGAUGAAAUGUGGAAACUCGCAUUGGAUUGGAAUAUUGAAGAUACCCAAGAUACUGAUGUUUGUCUGACACAUUUUAAUACUCCGUAUCUCGUGUUCUUUUAUCCAGGAUUAAGAGAGAUGAGGUUUGAACAAACAUACUACACUUGGGUAGUCACAUAGUGUACCAGAUUGGUAUACUUAUUCACUCACAUGAAAUUCUGUAUUGCAUCCCUCAGGGAAAUACUAAGAGUAGCAUAUUUAUUAGAGAGACAGUCAUCCUAAAAAUUUAUUUGUUCAAUUGACGGCUGCUUAAAUACUUAUAAUGUAUAAUAAUUUAUAAUUAAUGCUUAAACACUUCUGUCACGCUGUCAUGCUGGUUACAGCAUGACAGAAGGUAACAGACCAACGUAUUCAU